AGGUCUGGCGUACGAGCGGAUCGGCGAAGUUUGACAGCUGGAACGGGUCGAAAUAGCCGCCCGGAUUGGCCGUCAUCCACGAAUAGAUGCGGCUCGAACCCAGCCAUUGCAGCAGCAGAUAACAGGCCUCCGGCGCCUUCGACUGCGACGAGAUCGAGGCGGACAGGUUGAGCCAGAGCACGGUCCGGCGGAUGAGCGCACCAUCCACCUCGCGGCCAGGC
rnacentral:ncRNA from 1 species